UCCGGUUUGGCACCGGCAGUCUCCCUAGAGUUCCCGGCAUCACCCGCUGGCAACUAAGGGCAAAGGUUUCGCUCGUUAAGGGACUUAACCCGACAUCUCACGACACGAGCUGACGACAGCCAUGCAGCACCUGUGCAUUUCGCGUAUUGCUACGCCACCCGCUUUCACGGAUUGAACAAUGCAUGUCAAGCCCAGGUAAGGUUCUGCGCGUUGCUUCGAAUUGAACCACAUGCUCCACCGCUUGUGUGAGCCCCCGUCAAUUCCUUUGAGUUUUAGCCUUGCGACCGUACUUCCCAGGCGGUCCACUUAACACUUUUGCUUCGACCGCAACAGCGUCAGAGCCGCUGCAAUCUAGUGGACAUCGUUUAGGGCCAGGACUA
rnacentral:misc_RNA from 1 species